rnacentral:snRNA from 1 species
GGAUGUGAGGGCGAUCUGGCUGUGACAUAUGUCACCCCAUUGAUCGCCAGGGUUGAUUCGGCUGAUCUGGCUGGCUAGGCGGGUGUCCCCUUCCUCCCUCACCGCUCCAUGUGCGUGCCUCCCGAAGCUGCACGCUCGGUCGAAGAGGACGACCUUCCCCGAUAGAGGAGGAUCGUUCUCCUGCUAGA